rnacentral:lncRNA from 1 species
CCCUAUAAUUCCCAUGACAACUACUAAUUUUCAAUCUCACUAAGAAUAUGGUCCCUAAUAUUUUGGGGAAAAUAAGUGAUAUUUGUUUUGACUGAGUCGUACUUCCUAGUAACAUCCUGGUCGAGAUGAUCUGGUCGAGGUCAUCAAAUAAUCUCCUGGUCGAGGUGAUGUGGUCGAGAUGACCAAAUAACAUCCUGGUCAAGGUGAUGUGCUCGAGAUGACCAAAUAACAUCCUGGUCGAGGUGAUGUGCUCAAGGUCACCAAACAACAUCCUGGUCCAGGUGUUGCUCACUUUUUACUUAGAGGAGAGCAUGAUAAUGUAUGAGCAAACACCCUAUCUUGGUCACCUUAUUUUAUUCCCCAAACACCAGUCUCUUAGUUUUUAGUAUUGAGAGUGAAACGAAACAAGACUGGAAACUAUAAAGUUUAUAGUUUUUUACAAACUUAAAACCUUAAGCAGCUUAUUUUGCUUCCCUUGCUUCCCUUGCUGACCAUACCAUGGUUGAGCAUGUAUCAUUAGUUUAAAGUUUUAUGCCUUAUCUAGAGCAAGUUUCAAGACUUUUAACCUUACAUUGACUUAAGCAAUUUUAAGCUACUCUUAUUAGUUUAAGGUCUUAUGCCUUACCUAAAAUAGGCUUUAAGGCCUCUAACCUUGCACUUGCUUAAGGUCUUAUGCCUUACCCAGAAUAGGCUUUAAGGCUUCUAAUCUUGUAUUGACUUAAGCAACUUUAAACAAUUCCUGUCAAUUUAAGGAUUUAUACCUUACCUAGAGCAGGUUUAAAGGCUUUUAAUCUUCUAUUGAUUCUCUUUGCUUUUUCUAAUGCCUUAUAAAAUAUUAAUAAAUUUCAUUUAUAAACUUGGCUUCUCAACGCUAGCCUAGCUCUCCUUUCGUAGAUCAUUCUCAUAUUGAGCAACUUUCAAGAAAUCAAGUUAACUAACUAAUACCGUUAGCCCUAAUAUAAGCACAAUCAAUUUAAUGAAUAUAAGGUAUCCUCAUCUCACAUAGCAGGACUUAGAGAAAUAAUUAAAUUUUUAUUGAAAAAACUGCUUGUACAUAUAACUUUUGACCUGUUUUGAUUCCUGCAAAUGUGUGCCUUCAAUGUGCUCUUAUUUGAGGUUUUUGCUUUAAAUCCUUAAAUAUGGAUUUGCUCUGCAAACUGAUCAGCUAUAAUAGACCAUCAAAAAUUUAAUUUCUGACCUAUAACUUAUAACUUGUCCAGAAAAUAGCUCAGCAUUUACAACUUGUGCUUUAGCUAUUUAUAUAUGUUUGGGCCUUUGAUGGAUAAACAGCCUUGGUGUUUUAUUACCAUCUAUAAUAUUUGGUUAGCAAUAUUAUUAAAGACCUUUGCUAAAGGUACAGAGCAACAUUUACUAAUACUAUGGAUAUUGAAAUUUAUAUAUAAAAUAAAUCAUAUUAUGUAAAAUAUGUAGUCAACAAAUGAAUGGUAACAUAAAAGUUUAAGCAAAGUCAUAUCACUAUAUCAAGGAGAUAUGAUCUCAUGCUAACCCAAGUUCUAUCAAUCCUUUGGUCAAGCACGCUGUGUGCCAAUAUAUGACUAUGCUAUAUAUUCUAUAAUAUGUAAUCUUAACUAUUUUCUAUUAAUGACUUAAUAAGUCAAAACCCCAUCCAUCAAAUUUUUGAAGUCAAGUAGUGGAUUUAAAGGAUAAAUAUAAAACUGAGGUUUUAGAACAAAUGCACCUCAGAUUGUGCUUUGCAUUAUUUCAUUGGUACUUCAUUAAACAAAUCCCGAGCUUGACUCUACUUUGCUCCCUUCUUAGAAUUAUUCUUGUAGUACUGGAUUUUAGUCCUUGGCUCCUAGACAGUGUUCUUUUGAGCGUCACUCCCUUCAAUUUCAAUUGCUACCUUUGCUUUUCAAUCCAAUUAAUCUCACCAUCGUGAGUGUUCUUCAGUAGAUUCCUGAGCUUGUUCCUUAGAAUUUGAGGCUGCGAAAUUUUUUCAAUUUUGUCAGUUAUUUCGUCGAACAUUUGUUGUGUGUGAUCUCGUAUCACCACUUUUAACAAAUAUCCUCUGACACUUGUUUCCAAAAUCGUAAAAAACCAUAUCUCUGCACCAAAUUAGUAGCCAAAUCUUUAUUUUAAAAGAAUUAAUAUAUAGCAAAUAUGCCAAAACCGUGGCACAAUCCAAUUGUGAGUCUUGCAUUUAUAAAGUUAUUAGAUCAUGUGCAUGUGCCAUCAUGUUUAAAGUAACUAAGAUCUUAAUUUGUCUAAGCUUGAAAUAUGUGCAGAAUUUUAUGGCAAGCACAUGAUCUGGAGAGAAGUUUGACUAUAAAGCAACUAGCAUUGGAAUUCAACAUUUCUCAAAUUCAUGCUUCUCAACCAAUUUCUAAUUAUUAUGAAAGUUAAAUUUCUCAAGUCGGUGUCAUGUGAAUAUGCAAGUUUACCAAUACGGAAACAAAUUCAAACUAUACAAAGGCUGUGGCAUGUGUAAUUGAUCAUUCAAAUGCACUAUAUCAGACACAAAGAUGAGUAAAUUGAAAGUAAUCACAUCAAUUUAAUAGAAAAUACAAGCAGAAAUGAAAAUUGUGAGAUAGAUUUUACCGAUCUCAAGUUCAUGAAUGUCAACAUUGGUUUAAUUUUUACUGAUUUGAUUCAUUUCUUUUUCACGUGAAUCCAAAAUAAAAGAGAGCUUGUUGCGAUUCGUGCAUGAUAAUAUUCUGCCCUAGAUAGAGACAAAAGGUUGGCUUUUUGUAUCGAUUCCCCACAUACAGCGCCAAAUGUUGAUGCCAAAAUCUGGAUGAGUUGGUUAGUGACUUGAUCUCUGAUCCUUGCAUCAACAUUAAAUUUGUUUGGUUGGAAGUUGCUGGUCGAACUCCAAGAAGAUCCUCCGAUUAUGAGCAGAACAUUCAUGAGCUGUUGAUCAAUGAGCACCAUGAGCACAUAAUUGAUGAGCAGAUAACCAAUAAGCAAAUGAUCCAUGAGAGGAUAACCCGCAAGCCUGCGAGCGCAAAGAACAGUUAGGGGGCGCCAGAAGUUUUUUCGGCAAAAACCCUCCAACGCUCAAGUCAGCGAUUUGGGUCUACUUGGAAAAACCCUUACCACAAUUCACGUGGCUUAAUUAUGAUUGCUUUAAACAAAAAGCUUUUAAGUAAAUUCAAAGGAAAAGAAUUAAAAAUAAUUAAUCUUAAAGAAAUCAUAAGCGAAAGAGAAAUUUUCCAAUAGUAGAGAGAGAAACAUAUCCAAUGGGUUUAGUCGCCCAGAGAGAUAGGGAGAGAAAAAAGAAUCCUCUUCUAGUAUUCUUUUGCCCAAGAUUUUUAUAGGAAAUUAUAGUGGUUUUUAUCCUCUUCCCUAUAAUUCUCAAAAAAACUACUAAUUUUCAACCCACUAACAAUAUGGUCCCUAAUAUUUCGUGGAAAAUAAGUGAUAUUUGUUUUGACUGAGUCGUACUUCCUAGUAACAUCCUGGUCGAGAUGAUCUGCUCGAGGUCAUCAAAUAAUCUCCUGGUCGAGGUGCUGUGGUCGAGAUGACCAAAUAACAUCCUGGUCGAGGUGAUAUGCUCGAGAUGACCAAAUAAUAUCCUGGUCGAGGUGAUGUCCUCGAGGUCACCAAACAACAUCCUGGUCGAGGUGAUGUGCUCGAGAUGACCAAAUAAUAUCCUGGUCGAGGUGAUGUCCUCGAGGUCACCAAACAACAUCCUGGUCGAGGUGUUGCUCACUUUUUACUUAGAGGAGAGCACGAUAAUGUAUGAGCAAACACCCUAUCUUGGUCACCUUAUUUUAUUCCCUAAACACCUAUCUUGAUAAAUUAGUAAUAUUUAAGGUUUUUAUAAAAGGGGCCCAUAAACCUAAUUUUAUUAUAAAAGUACUUCUAAGCAUGUCUGUGUCCAUUGCCCAUGAAUUGGGCUCAUUAUAUAUUGAUAUUAAUUCCUUUAUAUCCUUGUGAGAACUGAAAACCUCACAUAUAUCAAAAUGAGCGACAUGGCAGCAGUGUCGUCAUUAAAUCUUGGAGAUUAAUCCACAUUAUUUGUAUUUUUUUUCCAUCGAGAUAUCCUCCUAGAGAAGCGGAAAUUAUCUAAAGGAUAGUGUGCUUUGUGCACUCCUUGAUGAAUAUGGUUGCUGGUGGAUGAACAGUGUCUGUGAAUAGGGACGUAAACAGUAUCAACAACUACUACUUAUGGAGUUCUUUUCUUCAUGUUGAGAUUGAUGGUUCGAUAGAUUUUGGAAUUCAAAGAUGCAAUAUUGACUCAUAUUUCCAACACCAAAAACUUGGCAAUGCACCCAUGCAUGUAGCCCUCGGUACACCAAUUAAAGCAUGAAUAAUUGCAACAUUUGUCUGUGUGAUGAGUGUACAUUGCUGACAUUAACUCGUGCUAAAAGUACUUCUAAAUACGCCUGUGGCCAUUGUAAUGUUGAUUUCUUUAUAUCCUUAUAAGAACUGAGAACCAUCAUAUACUAAAAUGAGUGAUGUGGCAACAUAGCUAGCCUAACAAAAUAUGAUACAAUAAUUUCCUCAAUUUUGUGUUAAAUAGUAAAAAAGAACGAACAAUCAUUGAAAUUUAAAUUGAAAUUGAAAUUGAGGUAAUUACUAUGUUAUUGUGCUAUUCAAAAUAAAAAUGUCUUACAUAUCUUUUUAUCAUGAAGAUUUUAGAAUAUGUCUCAUGUUGUAAUAAAACCAUAUCUAAAACAUAUAUUAUUGCAACAAUUAAACUUUAUAUUUUAUCAUUACACGAUCAUUUUCAGAAUAAAUAAAAAUUGUUUUCUAUCAUUGAACUCACAUGGCUUGCUGUGAUUGAUUGACUUGUAAGCUAACUCGUAAAUGAUAUUUUGCAUGUGGAAGCCCCCCCAACCCCCUUGCAUGGGAUGCAUGAAGAACGUAAUCGUAUGGGGUCGGGGGAACUCUUUUUGUAACACCUCAAUUCCACUAACAACGUAUUAUGGUGAAAUUGAAGGGAAACUGCAUUUCAUCAUUCUCAUUUAUAAAACCUUCAAAAUAAUACCCAACAGCAAAUGUUCUAAACCUCAAAAAGAAUAAUGAAAUAACGUAUUCUCAAAUAAAUAUCAUCCCAAAGGAAGCUAAAAUAUUCAUAACUUGUUAACGUAAUAUUAUUCCCCAAAAGGAGCCGAGCUCUUAUUCUUCCUAUUAAGACCAUAAGCUCAAAUUAUCUAACUCUAUCUGCAAAGAUGUGGUAACGAGGGGUGAGCCGUCAACUCAGUAAGUAUUUCAUGCACAAUACUAAAAAUCAUUAAAAUAUAAUUGAUUGAAUUUUGUAAAUAUGCAUAAUAAUAAGGAAAAUUACCUUUGUAAAUCAUCAUUUAGCAAAAAUAAAUCACAAUAAAGUCAUGCAAAUACUUUGAACAUAACAAUAACAUUUGAAACACAUAAAACAUAAUUAGCUUAUGCCACAUAGUAUCACCUGUAGACCCGGUGACACGACCAUAUAACAUUAUUCAGGGUACUAUACCUCGCAGGAAUUAUUAACAUUAACAUCAUAUGUGCACAAAAUCCGGCUAGCCUUCUAUAACAUAACAUAAUAUAACAUCACCAUGGACAAUGAGCCAAAUCAUUUAAAUUUAUCCUUGAAUUUUUAAUCAUUUGUAAGCUUCCAU